rnacentral:rRNA from 1 species
GACGAACGCUGGCGGCGUGCCUAAUACAUGCAAGUAGAACGCUGAAGCUUGGUGCUUGCACCGAGCGGAUGAGGUGCGCACGGGUGAGUAACGCGUAGGUAACCUGCCUGGUAGCGGGGGAUAACUAUUGGAAACGAUAGCUAAUACCGCAGAACAGUAGAUAUCGCGUGAGAGCUACUUGAAAGUUGCAAAUGCGCCACUACCAGAUGGACCUGCCGUGUAUUAGCUAGUUGGUGAGGUAACGGCGCACCAAUGCAACGGUACUUAGCCGCCCUGAGAGGGAGGGCGAGCCCGCCGGGGCGGGGGAACGGCCCCGAUGCGUACGGGAGGCGGCAGUAGCGCAUCUUCGGCGAUGGACGGAAGUCUGACCGAGCAAGGCCGCGUGAGUGAAGAAGGUUCUCGGAUCGUAAAGCGCUGGUGUAAGGGAAGAACGAGGGUGAGAGUGGAAAGGUCACACUGUUACGGUAUCUGACCAGAGAGGCACGGCUAACUACCUG